GACGAACGCUGGCGGCGUGCUUAACACAUGCAAGUCGAACGGAAAGGCCCUGCUUUUGUGGGGUGCUCGAGUGGCGAACGGGUGAGUAACACGUGAGUAACCUGCCCUUGACUUUGGGAUAACUUCAGGAAACUGGGGCUAAUACCGGAUAGGAGCUCCUGCUGCAUGGUGGGGGUUGGAAAGUUUCGGCGGUUGGGGAUGGACUCGCGGCUUAUCAGCUUGUUGGUGGGGUAGUGGCUUACCAAGGCUUUGACGGGUAGCCGGCCUGAGAGGGUGACCGGCCACAUGGGGACUGAGAUACGGCCCAGACUCCUACGGGAGGCAGCAGUGGGGAAUAUUGCACAAUGGGCGGAAGCCGGAGGCAGCAACGCCGCGUGCGGGAUGACGGCCUUCGGGUUGUAAACCGCUUUCGCCUGUGACGAAGCGUGAGUGACGGUAAUGGGUAAAGAAGCACCGGAUAACUACGU
rnacentral:rRNA from 1 species